UACAGAGGUGGCAAGCGUUGUUCGGAAUUACUGGGCGUAAAGGGCGAGUAGGUGGCCAUCUAAGUCAGACGUGAAAUCCCCCGGCUUAACCUGGGAACUGCGUCUGAUACUGGACGGCUUGAGUAUGGGAGAGGAACGUAGAAUUCCAGGUGUAGCGGUGAAAUGCGUAGAGAUGCGGAGGAACACCGAUGGCGAAGGCAGCCCCCUGGGUUAACACUGACACUCAUGCACGAAAGCGUGGGGAGCAAACAGG
rnacentral:rRNA from 1 species